UGAAUCUAAGUUGCAAUCAUGCAUCGAGAAACAACCAAGUUUAUUGAAUGAACAAUGUCUAUCUUGCAUAGGUGUAUAAAAUCUUUGCAAAGGUGUUUGAUAUUGUUUGUUUAUUAGCGAUUUGCAUUUUUGUGCAUUUGAAAGUUAUCAUUUGGUGCGAAUUGUGCUGUCGUGUUUACUUAGUCAAUAUGAGUAAACAAGUAAAGGCCUGUUGUGUACUAGGAUGCACGAAUAAGCAAGCGAUAAGACAUUCAUUCCUACGAAUGAAGACGUUUGCAGAAUUUGGUUGCAAAGAAUAAAUAACCCCAAGUUAUACAGCAGAUAUAGUAUUAUCAUCACAUAGAAUAUGUGUUAUUCAUUUUGAACCCCAAUGGCAGGUUAAAAAAACUUUCACUGCCAACUCUACAUUUACCUGAAUCAAUUGCCAGGACUAGUUCCUCUAACAGCAUCUUUACUGGUAACAGUCCAAUAGAGGGAACAAAAAAACCUGUUGAGGUGUAAACAAGGAAGAGAUUAUUUCAAGCCCUUGUUGAAGAACCUUGUAGCUCCUUGAGUAUCUUGUAUGAACCAUCAAUAUCGACUAAUAUGGAAACAAAUAAACUUGAAGGGCACUCGACUGCGAUAGGUGAGUAUAGUCAUAUCCUUUCAGAUCAAAAUCAACCGAGGAAACUUAAUAAAAGACAUAGCCCCUAUCCCGGGAACAUUAUUAUUUUGCGAUGCAAAGUCAGUCAGUGGAAGUCAGCUGUUUGAUGUGCGCCUUCAGCAAAAUUCUGUGAUAUUUUUAAAAGUUUUUCUGAUAAAAUUUUCGAAAGAUUGCCCCAGUUAAUCAAUUCGCUAGGCAUAAAAAAACAAAUAUUUCGUUUGGAGGAUUCAACAGACAUUUUGUCAAUAUUUUAUUCAGAUCACAAGGAUUAUGUAAAUAUGUUUGUAAAUAUUAGUUUUCACAUAUGCAUUUUCCAUUACAUAGGUAUUAUUAAUAAAAUUUUUAAAGGCAAAUAUCAACAAUAUAAAGACUAUGAUGUUGUGAUGAAUAUGGCAUAUGUUAAAUAUAGGGAAAGCUGCAAGAAAGAACGGUAAUCAUUAAUUAACCACGGUUAUAAAAUCAGUUUUUUAUAUACCAUUAUAUGUACCAUGUACAAACAGAAACAUUUUUUAAACACGCCAACAUCUCACUGUUGACAGGCCUAAACCUGCUGAAGUGUGAAGGAAAAUUUUUUGUUUGUGGAUAUAGUUAUAAAAUGUCAAAAACAAAAUAAAAAUUAUAAUAAUCA